UACGAAGGGGGCUAGCGUUGCUCGGAAUCACUGGGCGUAAAGCGCACGUAGGCGGCUUAUUAAGUCAGGGGUGAAAUCCUGGAGCUCAACUCCAGAACUGCCUUUGAUACUGAUGAGCUUGAGUUCGGGAGAGGUGAGUGGAGCUGCGAGUGUAGAGGUGAAAUUCGUAGAUAUUCGCAAGAACACCAGUGGCGAAGGCGGCUCACUGGCCCGAUACUGACGCUGAGGUGCGAAAGCGUGGGGAGCAAACAGG
rnacentral:rRNA from 1 species